CGUGUAUGAAGAAGGCCUUCGGGUUGUAAAGUACUUUCAGCGGGGAGGAAGGGAGUAAGGUUAAUAACCUUGCUCAUUGACGUUACCCGCAGAAGAAGCACCGGCUAACUCCGUGCCAGCAGCCGCGGUAAUACGGAGGGUGCAAGCGUUAAUCGGAAUUACUGGGCGUAAAGCGCACGCAGGCGGUCUGUCAAGUCGGAUGUGAAAUCCCCGGGGCUCAACCUGGGAACUGCAUUCGAAACUGGCAGGCUAGAGUCUUGUAGAGGGGGGGUGGAAUUCCAGGU
rnacentral:rRNA from 1 species